UACGUAGGGUGCGAGCGUUAAUCGGAAUUACUGGGCGUAAAGCGUGCGCAGGCGGUUUUGUAAGCCAGAUGUGAAAUCCCCGGGCUUAACCUGGGAAUGGCAUUUGGGACUGCAAGGCUUGAGUGCGGCAGAGGAGACUGGAAUUCCUGGUGUAGCAGUGAAAUGCGUAGAUAUCAGGGGGAACACCGAUGGCGAAGGCAGGUCUCUGGGCUGACACUGACGCUCAUGCACGAAAGCGUGGGGAGCGAACGGA
rnacentral:rRNA from 1 species